GGAGGGAUAGCUGGUGCAGACCUUGAGGAAACAAAGCUGGGAAAAUCUGGUCAGUCUGCAAUUUUUAACUCUUAAAGGAAAGAGGAAGUAGCCGUGAACCAGGAAACCAACUCGAGACUCGAGAGUAGUCAUUUGAAUCUUUGGAGUUGGAGAUUGAAAAGUG